AAUUAUUGAUGAUGAAUCAAUACUCAAUCUAAAAAAAAUUCAUAAGUUCUCAAAUCUAGUUGCUUAGCUGCAUCAUCACCGUCAAUAUCUAUAACACUAUCAUCAGCAUCAUUGAAUAGCAUGAACUCCAUCUCUAAUUCAUCUAAAGAAAGCUUUGCAAUAUUCAGCGUUCCAACAUCUUCAAAAGAGUCAAAUUGACCCCAAAAGUAUUAACAUAUGAAUACUACUCUCUAAUAAUAUAUUAAUAUCGAAACUAAAUCUACUAAUGAAUAUCGAUGUACAAACGACAAACUUAAAAGUAAUUUUCAAACAACUUAUUUAUGCAAUUUAAUGUAAAAAAACUCAAAUAUAUAGUGAAUUACUUGCUUUGCUCAAAGUGGGAAUGAUUGCUCUAUACACGUCUAGUAUCUUCCUCAAUGUCUAUAGACUCUCAAAAAACAAUCACACGAUAAUCAGGAUAUUUAGGUUUAUGCUAAAAUCUAGUAUUAUAAUACUAUAAUUUAAGUUAAUUUUAAGCCAAAUUCCAUAAGUAAGCCAAACUCCAUAAUCUAGUACCACGAAUCAUCAAAUCGAAACGAAUAUUGAAUGAAAACAAAAAUUGAAAAGGAGAUUCAAAAUAAAUAAUUUCCAAUCGUUAACCUUUUUUUUGGCUGCAAAUCUUCAGCCUUAAUUCUCCGUUGAUGCCAAUUUCACAAACCCGUUUCUUGAGAUUCCAAUCACCAUUUAGAAGCGAAGAAUGGUUACAGAUGGUGCAAUUAUUUUAUUUUAUUUUUUCAAAAAGGGCUUAUGAAAAGGUAAUUGGUGAUUUUUAAGGUUA
rnacentral:lncRNA from 1 species